UACGUAGGAUGCAAGCGUUGUCCGGAAUUAUUGGGCGUAAAGCGAACGUAGGCGGUUUUUUAAGCCAGAUGUGAAAUCCCCGGGCUCAACCUGGGAACUGCAUUUGGGACUGGAAGGCUAGAGUAUGGCAGAGGGGGGUGGAAUUCCACGUGUAGCAGUGAAAUGCGUAGAGAUGUGGAGGAACACCGAUGGCGAAGGCAGCCCCCUGGGCCUGUACUGACGCUCAUGCACGAAAGCGUGGGGAGCAAACAGG
rnacentral:rRNA from 1 species